AUGAAUUGCUUAUCAUGGAACUAUCGCGGGCUUGGGAACCCGCAGACAGUUCGAGAGCUUCACGAUCUAGUGAAGAUGGAAGGUCCCGCCCUGGUCUUUCUGUGUGAGACAAAGAUAGAGGGGAGAAGAGUUAGUGAGCUUACCAAUAGGCUUGGUUUCGAGGGUUGUUACCCAGUUAAUAGUGCCGGUCUGAGCGGCGGCUUGGCUUUGUUCUGGUCAAAAGAU
rnacentral:rRNA from 1 species